rnacentral:rRNA from 1 species
GACGAACGCUGGCGGCGUGCUUAACACAUGCAAGUCGAACGGAAAGGCCCUGCUUUUGUGGGGUGCUCGAGUGGCGAACGGGUGAGUAACACGUGAGUAACCUGCCCUUGACUUUGGGAUAACUUCAGGAAACUGGGGCUAAUACCGGAUAGGAGCUCCUGCUGCAUGGUGGGGGUUGGAAAGUUUCGGCGGUUGGGGAUGGACUCGCGGCUUAUCAGCUUGUUGGUGGGGUAGUGGCUUACCAAGGCUUUGACGGGUAGCCGGCCUGAGAGGGUGACCGGCCACAUUGGGACUAAGAUACGGAGCAGACUCCUACGGGAGGCAGCAGGGGGGAAUAUUGCACAAUGGGCGGAAGCGUGAUGCAGCAACGCCGCGUGCGGGAUGACGGCCUUCGGGUGGUAAACCGCUUUCGCCUGUGACGAAGCGUGAGUGACGGUAAUGGGUAAAGAAGCACCGGCUAACUACGUG